rnacentral:rRNA from 1 species
UCCUACGGAAGGCAGCAGUAGGGAAUCUUCCACAUUGGACGAAAGUCUGAUGGAGCAACGCCGCGUGAGUGAGGAAGGUUUUCGGAUCGUAAAACUCUGUUGUGAGGGAAGAACAAGUACGAGAGUAACUGCUCGUACCUUGACGGUACCUCAUUAGAAAGCCACGGCUAACUACGUG